AGCAGAGAUGCUUUGGUGCCUUCGGGAACUCUGAGACAGGUGCUGCAUGGCUGUCGUCAGCUCGUGUUGUGAAAUGUUGGGUUAAGUCCCGCAACGAGCGCAACCCUUAUCCUUUGUUGCCAGCGAUUCGGUCGGGAACUCAAAGGAGACUGCCGGUGAUAAACCGGAGGAAGGUGGGGAUGACGUCAAGUCAUCAUGGCCCUUACGGCCAGGGCUACACACGUGCUACAAUGGCGCAUACAAAGAGAAGCGACCUCGCGAGAGCAAGCGGACCUCAUAAAGUGCAUCGUAGUCCGGAUUGGAGUCUGCAACUCGACUCCAUGAAGUCGGAAUCGCUAGUAAUCGUAGAUCAGAAUGCUACGGUGAAUACGUUCCCGGGCCUUGUACACACCGCCCGUCACACCAUGGGAGUGGGUUGCAAAAGAAGUAGGUAGCUUAACCUUCGGGAGGGCGCUUACCACUUUGUGAUUCAUGACUGGGGUGAAGUCGUAACAAGGUAGGCGUAGUGCU
rnacentral:rRNA from 1 species